rnacentral:rRNA from 1 species
AUUGAACGCUGGCGGCAGGCCUAACACAUGCAAGUCGAGCGGAUGAGUGGAGCUUGCUCCAUGAUUCAGCGGCGGACGGGUGAGUAAUGCCUAGGAAUCUGCCUGGUAGUGGGGGACAACGUUUUGAAAGGAACGCUAAUACCGCAUACGUACCACGAGAGAAAGGGGGGGAUCUUCGGACCUCACGCUAUCAGAUGAGCCUAGGGCGGAUUAGCUAGUUGGUGAGGUAAAGGAUAACCAAGGCGACGAUCCGUAACUGGUCUGAGAGGAUGAUCAGUCACACUGGAACUGAGACACGGUCCAGACUCCUACGGGAGGCAGCAGUGGGGAAUAUUGGACAAUGGGCGAAAGCCUGAUCCAGCCAUGCCGCGUGUGUGAAGAAGGUCUUCGGAUUGUAAAGCACUUUAAGUUGGGAGGAAGGGCAGUAAGCUAAUACCUUGCUGUUUUGACGUUACCGACAGAGUAAGCACCGGCUAACUCUGUGCCAGCAGCCGCGGUAAGAC